AAAUGCUCAUAGCCCUUCAUUUAAAUGAUCCUUGAUUUAACUUCUUACAUGUAGCACCUCCUUCAGCAAAAGUUAAGGUGUGGAUUACUUAUAAUCAAACUUUCUUCCCUCAUUUUCUGCAGUUUCCUUUUCUGUUAGAAGGCACCUAAUAGGGGAAUUUGAGGGGGUGGGGAUGAAGAAGGCUUUAGUAUUCCAGAUGCCAUGUUUUAGCUUCAGUUGAGUAAUUUGACUCACUGGAGGAAUGCAAUAACGUGAUAACGUAAUUUGAAUUCGUGGACCUUCGGAAUUAGAAUGUAAAAGGAUGGACUUAAAGCUGACAGAGUGGGAGAUUCAGACCUGUCAAAUUGCUUAUUCUCUGCUUAAUCAAUCCAAUUGAAGUUCAGAAAUGUUUUUCCAGGAGCUAUUGUCAGAUUAUCAUUAUUUUAGCUAUAUUUUGGGACUAGGUGAAAUACUUGAAGGAACUUUUAUAUCUCAAAGUAGUUUUAUCAACUUCCGAUAUCUUUUGCAACCCUAGUAUUUUGCUAAAUAUUAUUGCUUUUAAAUUGUGGGUUGACAAGUAAAAUCUGGUUAUUCAGCUGUUCCCAGAACUUUGAAACACAUAAAAGAAAUGAUCCCAGGUUAUUAUUUUGCAUAAUCUUAUCAAAGUUAUAUGCAUAGUGUUUUGUGAAGGUAACCAACUUUUACAAACUAUCACCCAGAAAACAUUCAUUAGAUUCGGUUGGAGAAGCAUAUAUCUAUACUAAUAUAGUUUCCAUAUUUAUUUUAUAACUAAGAAUCUGCCGCUGCUUAGUUUCCUUUUACUUUGAGGUUGA